rnacentral:rRNA from 1 species
CCUGGUUGAUCCUGCCAGUAGUCAUUCGCUUGUCUCAAAGAUUUACCCAUGCAUGUCUAAGUUUAAAAGCAUUUUUAACUUGAAACUGCGAACGGCUCAUUAAACCAGUUAUCGUCCAUUUGAUAGUCUUUUCUUACAAGGAUACCUGUGGCAAAUCUAGAAAUAAUACUUGCAUCGAAAGGCGACUUUUUGGAAGCCUUGCAUUUGUUUGAUUUAAACCAAUACCUUUCGGGGUUUUUGAGGUGAUUCAGAACAACUUAGCGAAUCGCAGUGCCCUUGUGGCGGCGAUGAAUCAUUCGAGUUUCUGCCCCAUCAGGUUUCAUUCCGAAGGUAUUGUCUUCGGAAGCCAGUCACGGGUGACGGAGAAUCAGGGUUCGAUUCCGGAGAGGGAGCCUUAGAGACGGCUACCACAUCCAAGGAAGGCAGCAGGGGCGUAAAUUACUCAAUACCAAUACGGUGAAGUAGUGACGAGAAAUAUCAUUAAGGAGCCCUUCGGGUUUUUUAAAUGAAAUGAGAGCAAUCUAAAAACCUCAUCGAGGAUCAAUUGGAGGGCAAGUCUGGUGCCAGCAGCCGCGGUAAUUCCAGCUCCAAUAGCGAAUACUAAUUCUGCUGCAGUUAAAAAGCUCGUAGUUGAACCUCUGGUAGGGCGGAUCCGGCCGUUGGGAUGAUUCCCUUUGUUGCUGUGUGUCUUGUCUGGCCAUCUUUCCUUUUUUUCGUAAAAAGGAUCUUUCACUGUAAAAAAAUUAGGGUGUUUCAAGCAAAAGUUAUUUGGAAUAUAUUAGUAUGGGAUGAUAAGAUAAGCUUUAGUUGCUAUUUUGUU